AUGUUCCUGUUUCCGUCAUUCCCUGUCCUUCUCCUGUCUGUGGUUACAGCUUCCUGCUCCAAAACAAAAGCCUAUGCGGAUACCCAGAAGACCUGCUCCAUGAUUACCUGUGGCAUCCCCGUCACCAAUGGCACCCCAGGCAGAGAUAGGCGAGAUAGACCCAAGGGGGAAAAGGGAGAGCCAGGUCUGGGACAGGUCAAGGGCUCAGAGGUUUGCAGGGCCCUCCUGGGAAGAUGGGGCCCCCAGGAAAUACAGGGGCUUCUGGAAUUCCAGGACCUAGGGGCCAAAAAAGAGAUCAUGGGGACAAUUCAGUUGCUGAGGCUAAGCUGGCCAACUUAGAGAGAGAGCUACAGAGCCUGAGAUCAGAACUGGACCACACGAAGAAGCUGCAAGCCUUCUCCUUGGGGAAAAUGUCUGGGAAGAAGCUUUUCGUGACCAAUGGUGAGUGGAUGCCUUUCUCCAAAGUGAAGGCUGUGUGUGCUGGGCUCCAGGCCACAGUGGCUGCCCCCAAGAAUGCCGAGGAAAAUAAGGCCAUCCAGGAUGUGGCCAAAGACACUGCCUUCCUGGGCAUCACAGAUGAGGCAACUGAAGGCCAGUUCAUGUACUUGACGGGCGGGAGGCUGACCUACAGCAACUGGAAGAAGGAUGAGCCAAAUGACCACGGCUCAGGGGAGGACUGCGUUAUUCUCCUGAACAACGGGCUCUGGAAUGACAUCUCCUGCGCCUCCUCCUUCAUUGCCGUCUGUGAGUUUCCUGCC
rnacentral:sRNA from 1 species